UUUUCGAACAUAUACCAUGCAUGAACAUUUAUCAAUCGAAGAUUGUGACAUUUACAUCUUGAGUUUGCAUAUCACGAAUUUGUUGAAACAUUACGGAAACUUACAUGGGCGGAUUCCUAUAUUUCUUCUGAAUAUGCAAAAUUGCUCUUGGACUCUUGACAAAGGUGUACAUUUCCUUUCUAUCUGCAUCUCUGGAUGGUAUAUUGUAAGAAUGAAGACCACGAUUACACGUUCGACACAUAUCCGCUCUGGUAGUCAUCUCUUCGUUGAUAAUUUUAAUUCAACGUAUGAUUAUUAUAUGAUGAUCGCUCUUUUUCAAUAAAAAAUUCUACACUGAAAUAAAGUAAUGCUUACUGUAAGUUGAUCACAAGAGUAAUGCUUACUGUAAGUUGAUCACAAAGAUGGUUUCAAAGAUGAUUGACUUGUGUACUGCUGUUGUCAAGGGAACGCAAAGAGAAAGGAUUUUCCUUCUGUGUAUAUUGAUGUAACUUUUAUAAUAACCGACAACGGUUUUAUGUCAUGUAAUUAAAUAUAGAAAUCAAAACAAUUUU